UGGGGAAUAUUGGACAAUGGGCGAAAGCCUGAUCCAGCCAUGCCGCGUGUGUGAAGAAGGUCUUCGGAUUGUAAAGCACUUUAAGUUGGGAGGAAGGGCAGUAAGCGAAUACCUUGCUGUUUUGACGUUACCGACAGAAUAAGCACCGGCUAACUCUGUGCCAGCAGCCGCGGUAAUACAGAGGGUGCAAGCGUUAAUCGGAAUUACUGGGCGUAAAGCGCGCGUAGGUGGUUCGUUAAGUUGAAUGUGAAAGCCCCGGGCUCAACCUGGGAACUGCAUCCAAAACUGGCGAGCUAGAGUAGGGCAGAGGGUGGUGGAAUUUCCUGUGUAGCGGUGAAAUGCGUAGAUAUAGGAAGGAACACCAGUGGCGAAGGCGACCACCUGGGCUCAUACUGACACUGAGGUGUGAAAGCGUGGGGAGCAAACAGG
rnacentral:rRNA from 1 species